rnacentral:ncRNA from 1 species
GCGACGCCGUCUACGUUGCGUUGCCGUCUGCUGGGCAAGCCGUCCGUACCGACACGGGACGACAAGAGACGAGAGGA